AGAGUUUGAUCCUGGCUCAGAUUGAACGCUGGCGGCAUGCCUUACACAUGCAAGUCGAACGGCAGCACGGGGGCAACCCUGGUGGCGAGUGGCGAACGGGUGAGUAAUACAUCGGAACGUGCCCUGAAGUGGGGGAUAACGUAGCGAAAGUUACGCUAAUACCGCAUAUUCUGUGAGCAGGAAAGCAGGGGAUCGCAAGACCUUGCGCUUUAGGAGCGGCCGAUGUCGGAUUAGCUAGUUGGCGGGGUAAAAGCCCACCAAGGCGACGAUCCGUAGCGGGUCUGAGAGGAUGAUCCGCCACACUGGGACUGAGACACGGCCCAGACUCCUACGGGAGGCAGCAGUGGGGAAUUUUGGACAAUGGGCGCAAGCCUGAUCCAGCCAUGCCGCGUGAGUGAAGAAGGCCUUCGGGUUGUAAAGCUCUUUCGGCGGGGAAGAAAUCGCACUUUUUAAUACAGAGUGUGGAUGACGGUACCCGAAUAAGAAGCACCGGCUAANUNNNNNNNAGCAGCGCGGUAAUAC
rnacentral:rRNA from 1 species